CCAUGACGGAGAGUUUGAUCCUGGCUCAGAACGAACGCUGGCGGCGCGUUUUAAGCAUGCAAGUCGAGCGGGAAGGGGCUUCGGCCCUGGAGAGCGGCGGACGGGUGAGUAACACGUGGAUGAUCUGCCUCCCAGUUGGGGACAGCACCUGGAAACAGGUGAUAAUACCGGAUACGACCGCAGGGGUAGAGCCCUGUGGGGAAAGGGGCCACGGCCCCGCUGGGAGAUGAGUCCGCGGCCCAUUAGCUAGAUGGGGGGGUAACGGCCCACCAUGGCGACGAUGGGUAGCCGGCCUGAGAGGGUGGACGGCCACAUUGGAACUGAGACACGGUCCAGACUCCUACGGGAGGCAGCAGCUAAGAAUCUUCCGCAAUGGGGGGAACCCUGACGGAGCGACGCCGCGUGAACGAAGAAGGCCGUGAGGUUGUAAAGUUCUUUUCGGGAGGGGGAAUAAGCCUGCCAGGGAAUGGGCGGGUGAUGACGUGAAUCCCGGAAUAAGCCCCGGCUAACUACGUGCCAGCAGCCGCGGUAACACGUAGGGGGCGAGCGUUGUUCGGAAUUAUUGGGCGUAAAGGGCGCGCAGGCGGUCAUGCAAGUCCGAUGUGAAAGACCCCGGCUCAACCGGGGGUAUGCGUGGGAAACUGCAUGGCUUGAGUACAGCAGGGGGCAGUGGAAUUCCAGGUGUAGGGGUGAAAUCUGUAGAUAUCUGGAAGAACACCGGAGGCGAAGGCGACUGCCUGGGCAUGUACUGACGCUGAGGCGCGAAGGUGCGGGGAGCGAACAGGUUUAGAUACCCUGGUAGUCCGCACAGUAAACGAUGCACACCAGGUGUCGGGGGGUAGCCCCCGGUACCGGAGCUAACGCACUGAGUGUGCCGCCUGGGGAGUAUGCCCGCAAGGGUGAAACUCAAAGGAAUUGACGGGGGCCCGCACAAGCGGUGGAGCAUGUGGUUUAAUUCGAUGAUACGCGAGGAACCUUACCAGGGCUUGACAUCCGGGGGAACCAUGGGGAGACCCAUGGGCCGCUUGCGGCCGCCGGACAGGUGCUGCAUGGCUGUCGUCAGCUCGUGCUGUGAAGUGUUGGGUUAAGUCCCGCAACGAGCGCAACCCCUGCCGUCUGUUACCAGCAUGUGAAGAUGGGGACUCGGACGGAACUGCCGGUGACAAACCGGAGGAAGGUGGGGACGACGUCAAGUCAUCAUGGCCCUUAUGCCCUGGGCCACACACGUGCUACAAUGGCCGGUACAGAGCGAAGCGGACCCGCGAGGGAGAGCGAACCGCGAAAGCCGGUCUCAGUACGGAUUGGACUCUGCAACCCGAGUCCAUGAAGUUGGAAUCGCUAGUAAUCGCGCAUCAGCAUGGCGCGGUGAAUACGUUCCCGGGCCUUGUACACACCGCCCGUCACACCAUCCGAGUCGGGGGUACCCGAAGUCGCUGUCCCAACCGCGAGGGGGGAGGUGCCGAAGGUAUGCCUGGUGAGGAGGGUGAAGUCGUAACAAGGUAGCCGUACCGGAAGGUGCGGCUGGAUCACCUCCUUUCU
rnacentral:rRNA from 1 species